GUCAGGGAGAGCUGUUACAGCUGCAGCUGUUGCUUGGGACUCUAUGCCAGAAAGCUUUUAGUGCGGACUUUAAUACUUUAGAACAGACUUUAAUACUUUGAAUUUGUUGAGACUGAUGCAUUCAUGCAAUAAUCAAGUUUAUAGCAACCAACAACUGCUCUUGUCUCCUUGAAGACCCGAGGCCCAACUAAAGCUCGACAGAAAUGGUGAGGCCUGGCAGAGAUUCCCAGAGAAGCUGUGGCUGCCCCAUAAUCCCCAGAAGUGUCCAAAGCCAGGUUGGAUGGGGCUUGGAGCACCCUGGGAAGGUGGAAGGUCUCCCUGCCUGUAGUGGGGAUUGGAAUGAAGUGAUUUUCAAAGUCCCCUUCCAACUCUGGUUGAGGGAAAGUUGGAUUGGAGCCAGGAGGGACAUCCCUGUCCUGGUGGGAUCAGGCCCAGCAUCUCCAUCCAGGCCCGGAGGGGAUUGUUCCACUCUGCUCCAGGCUGGGAUGGCCUCACCUGGAAUAUCGUUCGUAGUUUUGGGCAUCACAAGACGUGUGCUGCCGCCUCUUUGUUCAUCUGUGCCGAAUCUCUGCUGGCAGCUGGAAUUAUGCGGCAUCUGCCAGGAGGAUUUGUCACUUCCCUGUUGUUGCCGUCGCCGGGCCAGGGGCACAUAGGCCCCAUGCCAGUUUUUCAGUGGAGCAAAAGCCUGUGUUGAGGACCAUAAAUAUUUUGGUUGCACAGAAAGAUCAAACACGUGGGCAUCUUCCCAUCACAUUCCCACCUGGAGAGGCAGCAGGAUACUCUGGACCAUCCUAAUUCAGAAGAAAUUUCAGCUGAAUCUGAGUUAAUAAACAAUGGUGGCUACGUGUUCUAGAUUUAUUAGCACAGACCCACAUCAGCAGUGUCACAUCAUCCCCUUUACUUGUGACAUUAUUUUAGUCGCACAAUCACAGAAUGAUUUGAGCUGGAACACACCUUUAAAACCAUCCAGUUCCAACACCUCCAUGGGCAGGUACACCUUCCACAAGCUACUCAGAUCUCUCUCUAAGCUGGACUUGACCAACCAGGAUAUGUUUUUUUUAUCUUUAUCUUUUCCAAGCCCUGCAAGCUUCCUUACUUCCUCUUGUGUGCUGGGAAUAUGAGGUGAGAACAGGAAGAAUUUCCUUUAUUUGGUGAUUUACAAGCUUGUAGUCACAAGUGAUUCCAAAGGUGACUUUUCCUCUCUCAGGAGCUUUGUUUUUUCCUCUAACCUGCCCAGGACUGCUGCCUCCUCAAGACUGAGGUGCUCCAUGUGCUUCCUCAUUCCAAAAUUCCUGAGUGAAACUGGACUUGCCAAUGGAGCUGCUGGUCUUGGUCACAUUUUACUUUGCAUUGCUCCCUAACUAUGGCUCAGUGGUGUGCUAAAAUUAAUCUCUUAUUAAUUGUUUUAAAACUGACUGCAUCCUGCGCUGCUUUGGGUGAGCAAUUGCCUUUCUCUGCUGGGAAAUAAUUUCGGCAUUUCAUUUGGAAAAAAGUAAUUAACUGCAUGGGUAUGCUUAGUUGAGUAAGUCAUUACAAUCUCUGACUUAUGCAAAUGAGAUUGUUCAAGUAUAAUUCUUACUGAGAUAACUCCAUACAUACAUAAACUUUUAAAUUGCAUGGUCCAGCUGAGAAUUUGUGGGCAAAUAAACGAUGUUAAUGGGUUAAUUUAUAAACUCUGUUGCAUAAUCAAUUUUCAGGGAGCAGGGAGCUUGUGAGGAAGCUGGUCCUGGUGCUUCCAGGGACUUUUUGGCACAUCAUUGGAUGGAGAACAUGAGCAAUCCACUGGUUCACACACCCCUGUGCUCGUUUUGCAGCUGCUGCAGCAUGGAACACAUUUUCAGGGUCGCUUUCCUCAUAUUCUGCCUGCUUUAAUUAGGAUGUUUAUGAUGUUGUAGAGAGAGGUGACCAUGCUCAUGGAUUUUACUAACUAUUCUGGAUUUUUUUUGUUCCAACAAAU